rfam:Biomphalaria glabrata isolate BB02 linkage group LG6 unlocalized genomic scaffold LG6_random_Scaffold1244, whole genome shotgun sequence.
UAUAACAUCACAGUGAUUGUGAUGUGUGAAAUUGGUCAUAUCACAGUCAGCUUUGAUGAGCUUGG